AGUGAACGCUGGCGGUAGGCUUAACACAUGCAAGUCGAACGGCAGCACAGUAAGCGCUUGCCCUUACGGGUGGCGAGUGGCGGAAGGGUGCGGAAUACAUCGGAAUCUACUCUUUCGUGGGGGAUAACGUCGGGAAACUUACGCUAAUACCGCAUCCGACCUACGGGUGAAAGCAGUGGAGCUUCGUUACUUGCGCGAUUGAAUGAGCCGGUGUCGGAUUAGCUAGUUGGCGGGGUUAGGGCCCACUAAGGCGACGAUCCGUAGCUGGUCUGAGAGGAGGAUCAGCCACACUGGAACAGAGACACGGUCCAGACUCCUACUGGAGGCAGCAGUGGGGAAUAUUGGACAAUGGGCGCAAGGCUGAUCCAGCCAUACCGCGUGGGUUAAGAAGGCCUUCGGGUUGUAAAGCACUUGUGUUGGGAAAGAAAAGCAGCAGGUUAAGGCCCCGCUGUACUGACGGUACCCAAAGAAUAAGCACCGGCUAACUUCGUG
rnacentral:rRNA from 1 species